rnacentral:sRNA from 1 species
AUGUUUUAUUGAUUCCCAUAGGUAAUAAGAGAUUGCAGGAUAUGAUGGACAUCAUGGUCAAAGAAAGAGGCGCCACUCUGUAUGCCACGGAUGAAAGAUUUUGUAUAGACAAUGGAGCUAUGAUUGCUCAGGCUGGAUGGGAAAUGUUUAAAACAGGACUGGUCACACCUUUACAGGAAACUACUUGCACACAAAGGUACAGAACAGAUGAGGUUGAAGUAACAUGGAGAGACUGACACGUCUAUUUAUAUAUAGAUAAGGGAACAUGUGGCAGCAGAUCUUGUACAAUAGAAGAGUGAUGGACUGGAUGGAGAUAUUUGUCUUCAAUUUAGUCUAUAAUAAUCAUUGUAAUUAUUAAUUUGUAUAAACAAUGUUUUGAAAAAUAAAGAAAAUAUUUAAAGAA